CCCCCUCCCUCCCCACAGAGGAGGAGACAUACCGGGAUACCAAACCCCCCCCCCACAGAUGAGGACACCUAACCGGGAUACCAAACCCCCCUCCCCACAGAUGAGGACACCUAACCGGGAUACCAACCCCUCCCUCCCCACAGAGGAGGAGACCUAACUGGGAUACCAAAACCCCCCCUCCCCACAGAGGAGGACACCUAACUGGGAUACCAAACCCCCUCCCUCCUCACUAAAAAAAUAUAAUAUUUCAUGUUUAGCUUCUGCUUCUCUGCAUGGAGCCUACGGUAGUAUUACCCUCAAUAAGAAAAUGGUGACUUCCAUAUUGCUAUUCAUUUUUACAGCAUUUAUGUAUUUUUAAUUUGUAUUAUAUACAUAUUAUGGCCUAUACAGAACAAAAUUGAAACACGGAACAAAAUGUGCAUAGAAAAACAAAAUAGUCAAAUGAGUUUUCUAGUGCCUUGAACUUUAACCCUCUUAUUUAUGUCCUACAUACUCAAACGGAAGUGCCUCCCUGGACUAUAGUCAAUUAGAUCAGAUCCUCUAUACCGGUCACGAGAUGCAUUAUUAUAGUACCAACCAACCUGCACAGUCAGAAGAGGGUAACAGGUAAACAGUAAUAUAGAAUAUGUCGUUAAUGGUUCCCAGUACAGACUGUAAUAUAGGGCCUGAGGACAGAGAGGAACCACACACACACACAGCUGUCCAGGAGGAGAGAGAGAGACAGAGAGAGAGGGGGGGGGAGAGAGAGAAAGAAGAUGAGUGAGAGAGUGAACUUGACAGAAACAAAUAUGGAAUGGCAUCCACUGACCCUUGAUGUGGGAAGUUCAACAGAGGCCACGUUCUAGAGCGGUCACAUGGUUCUAGAGUGUUCACAUGGUUCUAUAGAGUUCACAUGCAUGGUUCUAGAGUGUUCACAUGGUUCUAUAGAGUUCACAUGGUUGUAGAGCGGUCACAUGGUUCUAGAGUGUUCACAUGGUUCUAGAGUGUUCACAUGGUUGUAGAGCGGUCACAUGGUUCUAGAGUGUUCACAUGGUUCUAUAGAGUUCACGUGGUUGUAGAGCGGUCACGUGGUUGUAGAGCGGUCACGUGGUUGUAGAGCGGUCACGUGGUUGUAGAGCGGUCACAUGGUUCUAGAGUGUUCACAUGGUUCUAGAGCGGUCACAUGGUUCUAGAGUGUUCACAUGGUUCUAGAGUGUUCACGUGGUUGUAGAGCGGUCACAUGGUUCUAGAGUGUUCACAUGGUUGUAGAGCGGUCACAUGGUUCUAGAGUGUUCACAUGGUUCUAUAGAGUUCACGUGGUUGUAGAGCGGUCACGUGGUUGUAGAGCGGUCACAUGGUUGUAGAGCGGUCACGUGGUUGUAGAGCGGUCACAUGGUUCUAGAGUGUUCACAUGGUUGUAGAGCGGUCACAUGGUUCUAGAGUGUUCACAUGGUUCUAGAGCGGUCACAUGGUUCUAGAGUGUUCACAUGGUUCAAGAAUGUUCAAAAGGUUCUAGAGUGGUCACAUGGUUCUAGAGUGUUCACAUGGUUCUAGAAUGUUCACAUGCUUCUAGAGUGUUCACAUGGUUCUAGAGUUUUCACAUGGUUCUAGGGUGUUCAAAUGGUUCUAGAGUGGUCACGUGGUUGUAGAUUCUAUCCAUCCAUCCUCUGUUUGUCUGCCUGUUAAGUCUGUUGUGUGACAACAAACAAAACCCUUUUGUAUAGAAACAGCCUUCCAUUGUGCCCAGCGAUCACCUUCCAACUCUAAGAGAUGUGUUUCUGGGGCAUUACUGAAUCAAGACCUUCUGGCAUAUCCAAACUUGCACCAACUGUUGUUGUCGUUCACUAAACGAUAAUAACAACAAGCAUCGAUAUUCUGCUAAAAGUGACUGAACAGUGCCCAUGUCUCUGGCUGUAUUAUGGGAAUGAUAGUGUAUUUGACAUCGUCACAGACAUACCUGUCUAAACAACGAGCUCUACUGCACUAGUAAGUCCCCGACCGUCCCCUUCCACACUCACCCCUGUCUGUCUCCCUGUCUGGCUGUUUGUUUGUUUGUUUGCCUACCUUCCUGCCUGCCUGCCUGCCUGCCUGCCUGCCUGCCUGCCUGCCUGUCUGUCUGUCUGUCUGUCUGUCUGUCUGUCUGUCUGUCUGUCUGUCUGUCUGUCUGUCUGUCUGUCUGUCUGUCUGUCUGUCUGUCUGCCUGUCUGCACAGAGCUACUCAGCAUUCAUCUCAACAUGAUGUCUGCGUCCCAAAUGACACCGUAGUCCCUGUUUAAUGCACUACUUUAGACCAGGACCCACAGGGUGCCAUUUGGGAGGCAGAAAAGAGCAUUAUGAACGUUAUGAAAGCCAAAGGCAUUAGUCACUUUGCAUGCAAACAAAAUGGCAGCCCUCCGCUUCUGUUUUGGAUGACAAGAGAAAGAGCAUAGGAGAGAUGGAAAGAAGUAGAGAGGGAGUGAGGGAGUGAGGGAGUGAGGGAGUUGGAGCACGACAGAGUGCCAGCCGGGCGGGAUGUAGGAAGGAAGGAGGGAGAGGAAAUUAAUGCUGUGUUGUAACGUUUCAUGUUUCAGCUGGCUGUAGAGGCUUACCUGCUAUGUUGUAACGUUAUAUGUUUCAGCUGGCUGUAGAGGCUUACCUGCUAUGUUGUAACGUUAUAUGUUUCAGCUGGCUGUAGAGGCUUAGCUGCUAUGUUGUAACAUUAUAUGUUUCAGCUGGCUGUAGAGGCUUAGCUGCUAUGUUGUAACGUUAUAUGUUUCAGCUGGCCGUAGAGGCUUACCUGCUAUGUUGUAACGUUAUAUGUUUCAGCUGGCUGUAGAGGCUUAGCUGCUAUGUUGUAACGUUAUAUGUUUCAGCUGGCUGUAGAGGCUUAGCUGCUAUGUUGUAACGUUAUAUGUUUCAGCUGGCUGUAGAGGCUUAGCUGCUAUGUUGUAACAUUAUAUGUUUCAGCUGGCUGUAGAGGCUUAGCUGCUAUGUUGUAACAUUAUAUGUUUCAGCUGGCUGUAGAGGCUUAGCUGCUAUGUUGUAACAUUAUAUGUUUCAGCUGGCUGUAGAGGCUUACCUGCUAAGAUGUUUGACACCAUGGAUGGACAGUACAGUGUAGUACGACUAUUUAUUUAGUCCUGCUCUUGAUAAUAUGUAUGAUGAGACACAUACCAACUUGCCUUUGGCUUGAAUGAGAGACACAGUCAAAAGAGGCACUUGAAGACUGUAUGUUUUUAAUUGGCUGGUUUUCAGACCUAUAUGAUAAAAAUAUAGAUUGUGCCCUUGUUAAUUGAAAGCAUCCUUUUAAACUGGUUUCCACGUUGGGAUAGUUCCAGUACCAGCUGCCUAAAGCACUAGAAUGUUCUAUAUUAGUUUAUUUAGAUUCUCACUAGAUUGUUCUAUAUUUGUUUAUUUAGUUUCUCACUACAUUGUUCUAUGUUCUAUAUUUGUUUAUUUAGUUUCUCACUACAUUGUUCUAUGUUCUAUAUUUGUUUAUUUAGUUGACCGCUUGCAGAGUGAUAAAGGGUGUAGAUAUAGGGUGUUAAUCUGAUAUGAUUCAACCCCUCUCCAAUACAGUUUUAUUAUAGGGUGUUAUCUAAAUGAUUCAACCCCUCUCCAAUACAGUUUUAUUAUAGGGUGUUCAUCUGAUAUGAUUCAACCCCUCUCCAAUACAGUUUUAUUAUAGGGUGUUCAUCUAAAUGUUUCAACCCCU
ensembl:lncRNA